rnacentral:piRNA from 1 species
UGGCAAUGUGCUGCUUCAU